GUUGCUUAACCCUCGGGUUACCAAACCCGAUGCCCAUGACAUUGGCCUGUGCAAUGCAGAUUUCAAAAGCCGGUGAGGAGGACAAUUCUACUGAUAGUCGGUCUCUAUCCUCCCACCACGGAUGGAAGUCUGUCUGCAGGAUAAAGUGUGGUAUAGCUCGUGCCGCUUCCUGAAUCCUCUUGGUGAAGCCUCCACUCCAAAUCUUAAUGUCUCCUUAUUCCCUUAUCAAGCACAUCUUGUCCUUUAUGAGGCCACAAGAGGUGCUGUGGCAGCUGCCUACCUCUCCUCUGUGGAGAAGACAAACUUCCUAAGCUUCAGGUCCCCCAGCACGAUGGCC